rnacentral:rRNA from 1 species
GACGAACGCUGGCGGCGUGCUUAACACAUGCAAGUCGAACGGAAAGGCCCUGCUUGCAGGGUACUCGAGUGGCGAACGGGUGAGUAACACGUGGGUGAUCUGCCCUGCACUUCGGGAUAAGCCUGGGAAACUGGGUCUAAUACCGGAUAGGAGCCAUUUUUAGUGUGAUGGUUGGAAAGUUUUUUCGGUGUAGGAUGAGCUCGCGGCCUAUCAGCUUGUUGGUGGGGUAAUGGCCUACCAAGGCGGCGACGGGUAGCCGGCCUGAGAGGGUGGACGGCCACAUUGGGACUGAGAUACGGCCCAGACUCCUACGGGAGGAAGCAGUGGGGAAGAUUGCACAAUGGGCGCAAGCCUGAUGCAGCGACGCCGCGUGGGGGAUGACGGCCUUCGGGUUGUAAACUCCGUUCGCUAGGGACGAAGCUUUUUGUGACGGUACCUAGAUAAGAAGCACCGGCUAACUACGUG